UCAGACCGGAGCAAUCCAGGUCAGUUUCUAUCUAUAUAUGAGUUUCUCCUAGUACGAAAGGACCGAAGAAGCGUGGCCCAUGCAGACACAAGCCACAGCUACCAAAUUAUGAUUUAAACUUAAUAAUAUAGUAGCCUAAAACAAUUUUCUAAACAAGAACCG
rnacentral:rRNA from 1 species